AAAGUUAGAGGUUCGAAGGCGAUCAGAUACCGCCCUAGUUCUAACCAUAAACGAUGCCAGCCAGCGAUCCGGCUGUGUUCCUCAAAUGACACGCCGGGCAGCUUCCGGGAAACCAAAGCUUUUGGGUUCCGGGGGAAGUAUGGUUGCAAAGCUGAAACUUAAAGGAAUUGACGGAAAGACACUACCAGGAUUGGAGCCUGCGGCUUAAUUUGACUCAACACGGGAAAACUCACCCAGCCCGGACACAGGAAGGAUUGACAGAUUAAGAGCUCUUUCUUGAUUCUGUGGGGGGUGGUGCAUGGCCGUUCUUAGUUGGUGGAGUGAUUUGUCUGAUUAAUUUCGAUAACGAGCGAGACUCUAGCCUGCUAAAUAGACGUUCCGAUUAUCUAAUGUUGGACGUUCUUCUUAGAGGGACAAACGGCGCUCAGCCGUACGAGACAGAGCAAUAACAGGUCUGGAAUGCCCUGCGAUGUCUGGGGCCGCACGCGCGCUACAUUGAAGGAAUCAGCGUGUGCUUUCCCUGUCCGACAGGACUGGGUAACCCGUGGAACCUCCUUCGUGCUGGGGAUAGGGGCUUGUAAUUGUUCCCCUUGAACGAGGAAUUCCUAGUAAGUGCGGAUCAUUAGUCCGCAUUGAUUAAGUCCCUGUCUUUUGUACACACCGCCCGUCGCUACAACCGAUUGAAUGAUUUGGUGAGGUCUUCAGACUGGCGCCCGGAGCGGCCUUAACCGGGUCGUGCCGGUUGUGCCGGAAAGAUGACCAAACUUGAUCAUU
rnacentral:rRNA from 1 species